AUUGAACGCUGGCGGCAUGCUUUACACAUGCAAGUCGAACGGUAACAGGCCGCAAGGUGCUGACGAGUGGCGAACGGGUGAGUAAUGCAUCGGAACGUGCCCAGUCGUGGGGGAUAACGCAGCGAAAGCUGCGCUAAUACCGCAUACGAUCUAUGGAUGAAAGCGGGGGACCGUAAGGCCUCGCGCGAUUGGAGCGGCCGAUGUCAGAUUAGGUAGUUGGUGGGGUAAAGGCCGACCAAGCCAACGAUCUGUAGCUGGUCAGAGAGGACGACCAGCCACACUGGGACUGAGACACGGCCCAGACUCCUACGGGAGGCAGCAGUGGGGAAUUUUGGACAAUGGGGGCAAGCCUGAUCCAGCAAUGCCGCGUGCAGGAAGAAGGCCUUCGGGUUGUAAACUGCUUUUGUACGGAACGAAAAGGCUCUGGUUAAUACCUGGGGCUCAUGACGGUACCGUAAGAAUAAGCACCGGCUAACUACGUGCCAGCCGCCGCAGUAACAC
rnacentral:rRNA from 1 species